UACGUAGGGGGCAAGCGUUGUCCGGAAUCAUUGGGCGUAAAGCGCGUGUAGGCGGCUCGGUCAGUCCGCUGUGAAAGUCCAGGGCUCAACCCUGGAAAGCCGGUGGAUACUGCCGGGCUAGAGUCCGGAAGAGGCGAGUGGAAUUCCUGGUGUAGCGGUGGAAUGCGCAGAUAUCAGGAGGAACACCGAUAGCGAAGGCAGCUCGCUGGGACGGUACUGACGCUGAGACGCGAAAGCGUGGGGAGCAAACAGG
rnacentral:rRNA from 1 species